rnacentral:rRNA from 1 species
UACGGGGGGGGCAAGCGUUGUUCGGAAUUACUGGGCGUAAAGGGCUCGUAGGUGGCCAACUAAGUCAGACGUGAAAUCCCUCGGCUUAACCGGGGAACUGCGUCUGAUACUGGAUGGCUUGAGUUUGGGAGAGGGACGCGGAAUUCCAGGUGUAGCGGUGAAAUGCGUAGAUAUCUGGAGGAACACCGGUGGCGAAGGCGGCUCACUGGCCCGAUACUGACGCUGAGGCACGAAAGCGUGGGGAGCAAACAGG